rnacentral:rRNA from 1 species
AUUGAACGCUGGCGGUAGGCCUAACACAUGCAAGUCGAACGGCAGCACAGUAAUUGCUUGCUCUUACAGUUGGCGAGGGGCGGGCAGGUGAGGAAUACAUCGCUAUCUACUUGUUCUUGGGGUCUGACAUAGGCAAUCUUACCCUAAUACCGCAGACGGCGUACGUGUGGGAGCAUGGGAUCUUCCGACCUCGCAUGAUCGUAGGUCGGAUUAGCUAGUUGGUGGGGUAAAGGCCUACCAAGGCGACGAUCCGUAGCUGGUCUGAGAGGACGAUCAGUCACACUGGAACUGAGACACGGUCCAGACUCCUACGGGAGGCAGCAGUGGGGAAUAUUGGACAAUGGGCGAAAGCCUGAUCCAGCCAUGCCGCGUGGGUGAAGAAGGUCUUCGGAUUGUAAAGCACUUUAGGUUGGGAAGAAAGGCAGUAAGUUAAUACCUUGCUGUUUUGACGUUACCAACAGAAUAAGCACCGGCUAACUUCGUG